rnacentral:rRNA from 1 species
GACGAACCGUCCAAACGUUAUUCGGAAUUACUGGGCUUAAAGGGUGCGUAGGCGGCGCGGAAAGUUGGGUGUGAAACUCCUCGGCUCACCGAGGAACUGCGCCCAAUACUACCGUGCUUGAGGGAGAUAGAGGUGAGCGGAACUUAGGGUGGAGCGGUGAAAUGCGUUGAUAUCCUAAGGAACACCGGUGGCGAAAGCGGCUCACUGGAUCUCUUCUGACGCUGAGGCACGAAAGCUAGGGUAGCGAACGGG